GACAGAGGUUGCAAACGUUGUUCGGAAUUACUGGGCAUAAAGCGCACGUAGGCGGUCCGUUAAGUCAUGUGUGAAAUCCCCCGGCUCAACCGGGGAAUUGCGCCUGAUACUGGCGGGCUAGAGAUCGAUAGGGGUGAGUGGAACUCCAGGUGGAGCGGUGAAAUGCGUAGAUAUCUGGAGGAACACCGGUGGCGAAAGCGGCUCACUGGAUCGAUACUGACGCUGAGGUGCGAAAGCUAGGGUAGCAAACAGG
rnacentral:rRNA from 1 species